GUGGACCGGCCGCUGCUGCCUCUUUCCAAACCCAUCGCAGGGCUCAUCCUUGGAGAAAUGGCCCCACGGCACCAAACCUCUCCAGAAGCGCGCUCCCCACUGCGACACAUAGGGAGAACACUGGGGAAACAGACUAUGCCCAGGAGACAAUGGACAAGCUUUGGAAGGUUUUGAAGAAAGGGAUUCCAAUAAGAAGGCUGUUAUAAUCAUUUAAACAAGGGAUACGAGUCUCGGCAGAACAUUUUGAAGGGAAUCUGGGAGAAAUCAUGAUUAGACUGGUAAAAUGGGAAGGCAGUGAGAAUUACCUAAUCCAGCUCUUUGACAUGUGAGAAAACCCAGGCACAGCGUGGUUGAGUGACUCGUCGAAUAACACAAAGGAAAAGGAAACAUGUGGAGGAAGGAUAAAGGAAAGGCCUGCACGGAGUGUACUGAUCUGGAUGUGUGGCAAGGAAUUUCUUUUCAGGUCAUGGCUAUUUUGACCACAAGAGAAAAAGUGGUCAGCCUAAACUGGAAGGUCAAUGGGAAGUUUUAACAAAGAGAAAGUUUUGUCCACAAGACAUAUUCGCUGUCCAGCCCAU